rnacentral:rRNA from 1 species
AUGGCAGUGUGUGAUUUUGAUAUGAGGUUCACUUUUGUUGUUCCUGGAUGGCCCGGAUCUGUUCAUGACACACGUGUAUGGAGCGAUGCUAUAGUUCGCUAUGAGCAUUAUCCACAACCACCCACAGAUAAAUACUACCUUGUCGACUCCGGAUAUCCCAACAGAGUUGGAUAUCUAGCACCAUACAAAGGGCAACGGUAUCAUGUACCUGAUUUCCAACAACACCCUCCCAUGGGGAGGUAUGAGACAUUCAACCAUCGACAUUCUUCUUUGCGCAAUGUUAUCGAAAGAUCAUUUGGUGUUCUCAAGAUGAAAUGGCGUAUUCUCCAAGGCAUACCACGGUACAAACCGGAGACCCAAAAGAUGAUCAUCACUGCAUGCAUGUGUCUUCACAACUACAUUCGUGAUAGCAAGUUACGUGAUGAGCAUUUUGACAAGUUUGACAAUGAUGCAUACGUGCAACCUCCACAGCCGUUUACAGGUGCCAACGCUUUACCACCUGACGAUGAUGGUACCAUGGCCGCUACACGUGAGGCUAUUGCCGUCAGCCUUGUACCUUGA